UAUAAGGUUGUACCAUAGGCAAAUUCGUGUUUAUGGCAGGCUGGAUUGUGUGUUCACAUUUGUGUGCUUGUUCUAGAUCCAUCUGUCUAUUCCAAUCGCAUACAUAGCUAUUCAUCCUUCCAUCUGUCUGCUACCUAUGUGUUUCCUUCCAUCCCAGCCAUGCAAACAAGUGCUCUCAUCCCUUUCUAAAAGUGUCAGCGCAUAUUUCAUCUCCUCAAUUAAAGACUUGACUGCAAUCCCACACAAACAAACACAGCCUCUAGCAUUCACACGCAGCAGAAUCUGUGGAUGUUUUACAAGGAACACUGAAAAACUGGGGCCUUUGACAACCACACAAACAAUUGCUCUGGAAACAAAAUGGCCGCAGUAUUGAUCACUCUGAGGAAAGUCUGUAAAAAUAUGGACAAAUAUGAGGAGAGAAUAUGGGAAGAGCUGACUGGCCAAGCAGGCGAUAAUGAAUUGGAAGGGAAAGUCCAAGGCAGUGGAUGAGACGCAGACCAGAGUGUGCACUGCUAACCUUUGCGAGCGCUAAAUCAAAUAAGGCUUGAGGCUGCGGUAGCAUCUGUGUGUCACGAAGCAGACGGCGAUGUCAGAUAAGAGCAGUAAGUGUACCCUGUUUCCAGAACAGCGAAGGAGUCAGGAUGGGGUGUGUUACUUCUACAUUCUUUCAGGCUAAUGGACACAGACUGGCAAACCAACAGCAUUUAUACCAAGGAACAAUCCAGGUAUUUUAAGAAACACAGAAUAUGAGGAGCUGUGACUCCCACCCUUAACAAGUCAUAAACACUGAACAACAGACAUUUAAGCCUGAUAAUCUCCUUACAUUUACAACACACUCAUACAAUAAUACUUCAACAUAGGGUGCUAGUCAGGCAUCACAGUAAUGACACAUCACAGUGCUGAUGUACUGUCCGGAAUGGGUGACAUUUUAUGGUCUUGGAAGAAAUAUUAUAACUUGACUAACCGUA
rnacentral:lncRNA from 1 species